rnacentral:rRNA from 1 species
ACCUGGCUCACGCCGGUCUAAACUCAGAUCAUGUAAAAUUUUAAAGGUCGAACAGACCAAAUUUAUUAGCUCCUUCACCAAUAAUUUAUUUUAAUCCAACAUCGAGGUCGCAAUCCUUUUCUUCGAUAAGAACUCUAAAAAAAAUUACGCUGUUAUCCCUAAGGUAAUUUAAUCUUUUAACCUAAAAUUUAGGAUCAAUCUUUCACACAUAAGUGUUUCCGUACAUAAAAAGUUUUCUUAAUUUUUAAAUCACCCCAAUCAAAUACACUUCAAAAAAACAAGCCUUCAUUCUACUAACUUAACUUUCUAGUCAUAUAUAAAACUCUAUAGGGUCUUCUCGUCUUCUACAAUUAUUUAAGCUUUUUCACUUAAAAAUAAAAUUCUAAUAAAUUUUCACAGAGACAGAAUCUCCCUCAUCAAACCUUUCAUUCCAGCUUUUAAUUAAAAAACUAGUGAUUAUGCUACCUUUGCACGGUCAGUAUACCGCGGCCAUUUAACUUCUCAGUGGGCAGGUCAGACUUGAAAUUAUGAUCAACAAGCCAUGUUUUUAAU